AUCGCUUCUGUCCCAUCAGAUCAAGUGUAGUAUCUGUUCUUAUCAGUUUAAUAUCAGAUAAGACAAGCUCGGGGACUACAUAUUUUGUUUCUGGAUUUUUCGAACAGGAACCAGUCGGGAAUGGGGUUCUUGCUCCGUCCGGGACGAUGGUGUGGGACCGGGUCCUUGCAGGAACAGGGGGCAACACUU